AUUGAACGCUGGCGGCAUGCCUUACACAUGCAAGUCGAACGGCAGCGCGGGAGCAAUCCUGGCGGCGAGUGGCGAACGGGUGAGUAAUAUAUCGGAACGUGCCCAGUAGUGGGGGAUAGCCCGGCGAAAGCCGGAUUAAUACCGCAUACGACCUACGGGUGAAAGGGGGGGAUCGCAAGACCUCUCGCUAUUGGAGCGGCCGAUAUCAGAUUAGGUAGUUGGUGGGGUAAAGGCCCACCAAGCCUACGAUCUGUAGUUGGUCUGAGAGGACGACCAGCCAAACGGGGACUGGGACACGGCCCAGACUCCUACGGGAGGCAGCAGUGGGGAAUUUUGGACAAUGGGGGCAACCCUGAUCCAGCAAUGCCGCGUGCAGGAAGAAGGCCUUCGGGUUGUAAACUGCUUUUGUCAGGGAAGAAAUCCCUUGGGUUAAUACCUCGGGGGGAUGACGGUACCUGAAGAAUAAGCACCGGCUAACUACGUGCCAGCCGCCGCCGUAAAAC
rnacentral:rRNA from 1 species